UACAGAGGUCUCAAGCGUUGUUCGGAUUCAUUGGGCGUAAAGGGUGCGUAGGCGGCGCGGUAAGUCGGGUGUGAAAUCUCGGAGCUUAACUCCGAAACUGCAUUCGAUACUGCCGUGCUUGAGGACUGGAGAGGAGACUGGAAUUUACGGUGUAGCGGUGAAAUGCGUAGAUAUCGGGAGGAACACCUGCGGUGUAGACGGCUUACUGGACCAUAACUGACGCUGAGGCACGAAAGCGUGGGGAGCAAACAGG
rnacentral:rRNA from 1 species